UCCAGGAUGAGCCUCAGCAUCACAACCUUGACUCUCUGUCUGCUCUGGGCAGCAGACGUCUCUGUGUCUCUGCUGAUCACUCAGUGGCCUGCACACAUUUCCAGUCAUCCCAACGUCUCUGCAGAAAUGAACUGCUACCAGAAUAAAUCUGAUUAUGAGUAUCUGUACUGGUACAGGCAGCAGAGAGGACGAGGCUUACAGUUAAUGGUGUCGUUAGUAGCAGGAUCUGUGUCGUAUGAAAAGGAAUUCUCGUCUGGUUUUAAAGCAGUGAGACUGGAGGAGAAGCACUGGUCUCUGAAGAUAAACGCGGUUCAAGAGGCAGACGAGGCCGUUUAUCUGUGUGCUGCUACUCGAGCUCUGUGUCAGUACGAAGCUUAUUUCGGCCCUGGGACUAAACUGACUGUUCUCGAAGAGGGACAUGAGGUCACUCCACCGAAUGUCACAGUCUUCUAUCCUUCAAAAAAGGAGUGUGAAGACAAGAAAGACCAGAAAAAGAAGACGAUAAAGAAGACGAUCGUCUGUGUGGCCAGUGGAUUCUACCCGGACCAUGUCACCUUCUCCUGGUUUUUAAACUCUGAAGGAGUCAGCUCAGGUGUGGCCACUGACAGCAGCGCCGUGAAAGAGCCACAGGGAAGCAAGACCUACAGUAUCAGCAGCAGGCUGAGUGUCUCUGCUGACAAGUGGUACAAAAUGGAGAAUGAGUUCAUCUGCACCGUCAGCUUCUUUAACGGGACAAAAUGGAUCAAUGAAACUGCUUCCGUCUUUGGGGAAGAAGGCAAAGUCAGAGGGCAUUACCUGAAGGUCACACAGAGCGCCAAACUCUGCUACACCGUCCUCAUCGUCAAGAGCUGUUUGUACGGAGGCUUCGUGGCUCUGCUGCUGCUGAAGCUUAAGUCUGCAGCGGGAAAACGGAAGAGCUGAGAGCUGAUCAAACAUCUGUGGAGGAGGACUGAUCAUGUCGGAGUCUGUAGAUAAAAUAUCUCCACAACUUCAUCUCUGAGUGUCAGAGCAUCACGGAUGUGUUGGUGGUUGUUAGAUGAUCUUGUUGGCCGUGUAAAUACAUUUCCCCUUAAAGCUUUUACUCCCCACUUCCCUAACUUCCCUAACUUCCCUAACUUCCCUAACUUCCCUGACUUUCUUUUACGACUAAAGUUUAAGGAUUGAGAGGAUGCAUGAGUUGAUCAACUUCUGCUUACAUCAAUAUAACAGCUCUGUAGAUUUAUUAUAAGUGUAUAAAUUCUUCUUCUUUGUGGUUGUAAACUGUUGAAUGUUUAAUUUCUCUUCACAAUAAAAGCUCAUAAGAGAA